GACGAACCGAGCGAACGUUAUUCGGAAUCACUGGGCUUAAAGGGCGCGUAGGCGGGCUGACAAGUCAGGGGUGAAAUGCCGCGGCUCAACCGUGGAACUGCCUUAGAUACUGACGGCCUCGAGGAAGGUAGGGGCAUGCGGAACUGUAGGUGGAGCGGUGAAAUGCGUUGAUAUCUACAGGAACUCCGGUGGCGAAAGCGGCGUGCUGGACCUUUUCUGACGCUGAGGCGCGAAAGCUAGGGGAGCAAACGGG
rnacentral:rRNA from 1 species